AUGAAAGAAAAAAAAGGAAGCCAAAAGAAACUGAAGUUCCCUAGCAUUGGGUUCAGAAUGCACAGAUCUAAACCAGAAACACAGGAAAAGACAAAAAGAGAAAUAAAAACGACACUGCUAUCUGAAAGACAAAAAAUAUAUAAAGAAGAUAUCAGCCUGGAAAAUCCUGAAAUACUGACUGUUGAAUAUACCACAUCUCCUGCUUAUGAAAUUAAAACAGGGGAGGUACAUGAAACGUUAACAAAAGACUUAAAAGAUAUGAAAAAUGGAAUUCCAUCUUAUGCAAAAAAAUGCCCUGAAGUUGAAAUAAGCAUAAAAAAAGAAAAAGACAAGGAAUCAACAACAAAAUUUACUGUACCUGAAGCUAUAACAACAGAAAUAUCAAAGCCCAGUUUAGAAAUACCGGAUCUGACUGAAAGCCCAACUAAACAAACACCACAAACCUCCUCAAAAUCACGAAAAAAGAAACAGAAAGGAACAGCAGAUAAAAGAGAAAGUGGAAUUAACAUAGACCUGACGGGUCACACAGCACAAGGAUCCAUACAGGUAAAAGGACUAGAAGUAGGUGUUGCUAAAGCAGAAUUACACACACCACCUGACGCAACGGAAACAGGAGAAAAACAAGCAGAAGAUGACACACAAAUUCAGAAACCAAAAUCUGGGAUUUCAAUGACCAAAAGAAAAGAACCAGAGACUGAAAACUCCAAACUGGGAAGUGAUGAUCCACCUUCAGUACCAGAAAAAAGAGCUGAUAAAAGUUCAGAGGAUGGUAGGAUUUUGGAUGUGAAAUCUCACAUGUCUGAUGCAGAAUCUGAAGUAUCUACUUGGAAAAUGCAAACGCCAUCAUUCAAAAUAACCAGAAGUCCUAAAGUUGACAUGAAAAUACCAAGAGAAGAAAGGACAGUUGAUUCAUUAGAUAAUAUGAAAAAGGAACCGAGAGAAGGCGGCGACAUGCACACAAGUGAUAACACCGGGAAGAUGGAAACUGGCAUGAAGACAGGAGAAAAGGAAGUAGAGGGGAAAGAAAGCAAAUUCCGACUGCCAAAGCUUAAAUUACCUACGUUUACCUGGAACACUACACGGGAUGAGACAGGGCAAAUCGAAACUCAGGUAAGCGACAGGGAAGGAGAAGUGCCAAAGGAAGGAAUAGAGCCAUCCUUAGAAGCAAAUGCAAAAACAGGAAUUAGCGCAUCAACAGAAGACAAGAAAAGUCCAAGUUCAGAACUUGAAAUCACAAUAUCCAAAGAAAAAACAAAUGACAAUGACAUAAAACAAAUAUUG
rnacentral:lncRNA from 1 species